rnacentral:rRNA from 1 species
CAGCAGCCGCGGGAAUACGAAGGGGGCUAGCGUUGUUCGGAAUUACUGGGCGUAAAGCGCGCGUAGGCGGUUACUCAAGUCAGAGGUGAAAGCCCGGGGCUCAACCCCGGAACUGCCUUUGAUACUGGGUAUCUCGAGUCCGGAAGAGGUGAGUGGAAUUCCGAGUGUAGAGGUGAAAUUCGUAGAUAUUCGGAAGAACACCAGUGGCGAAGGUGACUGACUGGACAAGUAUUGACGCUGAGGUGCGAAAGCGUGGGGAGCAAACAGGAUUAGAUACCCGAGUAGUCCCUGUCUCUUAUAA